rnacentral:rRNA from 1 species
UACGUAGGGCGCAAGCGUUGUCCGGAAUUAUUGGGCGUAAAGAGCUCGUAGGCGGUUUUGUCGCGUCUGCUGUGAAAACCUAAGGCUCAACCUUGGGCUUGCAGUGGGUACGGGCAGACUAGAGUGCGGUAGGGGUGACUGGAAUUCCUGGUGUAGCGGUGAAAUGCGCAGAUAUCAGGAGGAACACCGAUGGCGAAGGCAGGUCUCUGGGCAUUAACUGAC